rnacentral:rRNA from 1 species
GACGAACGCUGGCGGCGUGCUUAACACAUGCAAGUCGAACGGAGUGGCGAACGGGUGAGUAACACGUGGGUGAUCUGCCUUGCACUUCGGGAUAAGCUUGGGAAACUGGGUCUAAUACCGGAUAGUGCAAGAUGAGCUCGCGGCCUAUCAGCUUGUUGGUGGGGUAAAGGCCUACCAAGGCGUGGACGGGUAGCCGGCCUGAGAGGGUGUACGGCCACAUUGGGACUGGGGUGGUGCCCAGGCGCCUACUGGGGGCAGGAGUGGGGAAUAGUGCACAAUGGGCGGAAGCCUGGUGCAGGGCCGCCGGGUGGGGGAUGAAGGCCUUCGGGUUGUAAACGCCUUUCGGCAGAUAGGCGGUACCUGUAUAAGAAGCACCGGCUAACUACGUGCCAGCAGCCGCGGUAAUAC